GUUUAUUUUUAAAAAAAAAAAAAACCGAAGUAAUUUUAUAUUUAUUCCAUUUGAACUCAGUUAAAUACCUCAAAAAGGGAGGAUAGCCAGCAUUUGCAGUCAAAAUAAAAGAGAAACAAAAGGAUCAGCAUGUGUGAAAGCAUGUUUAAAAUACAUAUGAGAACAAAAAUUGCCAGAAAAAUUAACGCAUUCGCGAGUCAAAAAGGGGCCCGUUUUAUGAGGAAAG
rnacentral:misc_RNA from 1 species